GAAGCGUUCAUGUGCGGUUUGUUGAUGGUGCGAAUUCUCUUUGACUAGGGAUCCAAAGAGGGUGCUAGACCCUUACGCAUUGUUGACUUUUCGUACGCGUUCGUUUCUUGGAGUAGGGUUGUUUUGGAUCGCAGCCCAAAGUAGGUGGUAUACUUCAUCUAAAGCUAAAUACGACUACGAAUCCGAUAGCAAACAAGUACCGUGAGGGAAAGUUGCAAAGUACUUUGAAGAGAGAGUUCAAGAGGACGUGAAACCGGUAGGAUGGAAGCAGAUAAAGUUGACGAACGUGUGUCGUAUUCAGAACUACAAUUUGUGGUUUGUUUUUACGAUCGAUGUGGGCUGGCGUCUUUGGUUAACUUAGUGUCUGGCGGCAAUGGUGACCCUGCGGAGGGAUAAUCGGUUGUCGUGCGAUGCUUGGUAUGGCUAGAGGUUCGCUGGUCUUAUAGUCAUCGCUUUAUCUGACCCGUCUUGAAACACGGACCAAGGAGUGUAGCGCUUACGCGAGUCUUAGAGUGUGUCAAAACUUUGAGGCGUAACGAAAGUAAAUGUGGAUUUAUUCACUGACUUGGGAUGCGUUGUCUUUUUUGGAUAGCGUUGGACCAUGGUUUUAUCGUAAUCGCUUGCGAUGCGGUGAAAAUAGAGCGUAAGCGGUGCGACCCGAAAGAUGGUGAACUAUGCCUGAGCAGGAUGAAG
rnacentral:rRNA from 2 species